UACGGAGGGUGCAAGCGUUAUCCGGAUUCACUGGGUUUAAAGGGUGCGUAGGUGGGUUGGUAAGUCAGUGGUGAAGUCUCCGAGCUUAACUUGGAAACUGCCAUUGAUACUAUCAGUCUUGAAUAUUGUGGAGGUUAGCGGAAUAUGUCAUGUAGCGGUGAAAUGCUUAGAUAUGACAUAGAACACCAAUUGCGAAGGCAGCUGGCUACGCAUAUAUUGACACUGAGGCACGAAAGCGUGGGGAUCAAACAGG
rnacentral:rRNA from 1 species